rnacentral:lncRNA from 1 species
AAAAAUUCUAAGUUUGGGGUUAGGACACCGGUAAGAACUAGAUAAGUGCAGAUAAGAUGAAAAGAAAAGAAAAGAAAAGAAAAAAAAUUGUUAUGAAACUUCAAUAGAAAAAAGAAAAAAAAUGAGAAGUAGAAUAAAGCACUUAUCUAAAGGAGAUUUAGUUUGGCGAAAAGCAUGCUCAAAGAAACACAUGAGUAAAAAAAAACUAAUGAAUCCUAACAAGAACGGUUUCUAAAAAUCUCUAAGGUGAACGAUUCAACACGGUGAUGAGGAUGACAACACGGAUUCUGAGCCUAAACCAC